UGUGAGAGUCAGGCUAGCGUCGCGGGUAAUAGAAAGUGGGCAAAAGUGGUGCGGAAUGAUGUGGGGUCAAGCGCAAGUAGGCGGCUUAGUAAGUCGGAGGUGAAAGCCCGCGGGUUAACCGAGUGCGUGCAUCCAAAACUGGGAGGCUUGAGUACUGAAGAGGGUCGCGGAAUUCCCGGUGUAGAGGUGAAAUUCGUAGAUAUCGGGAGGAACACCAGUGGUGAAGGCGGCGAUCUGGGCAGAUACUGACGCUGAGGUGCGAAAGCGUGGGGAGCAAACAGGAUUAGAACCCGGGUAGUC
rnacentral:rRNA from 1 species